rnacentral:rRNA from 1 species
UGUACCUACGGGGGGCAGCAGUGGGGAAUAUUGCACAAUGGGGGAAACCCUGAUGCAGCGACGCCGCGUGAGUGAAGAAGUAUUUCGGUAUGUAAAGCUCUAUCAGCAGGGAAGAAAAUGACGGUACCUGACUAAGAAGCCCCGGCUAACUACGUGCCAGCAGCCGCGGUAAUACGUAGGGGGCAAGCGUUAUCCGGAUUUACUGGGGGGAAAGGGAGCGAAGACGGCAAGACA